CUGCUCACAAGGGCUCAGUCCCCUCAUUGUGGUCCUGACCUGCCCUCUAUGAGCAAGAGAAUGUGGACUGGUUGGGGGUGUCCUGUCCAAGUGGACAACAGGACUCCACGGUUUUCAGUACAACA